CCCCUAGAUGUUCUGGGCCACACGCGCGCUACACUGAACAGUUCAACAAGUCUUAACCUUGGCCGAUAGGUCUGGGUAAUCUUUGAACGCUGUUCGUGAUUGGGAUAGACCUUUGCAAUUAUGGGUCUUCAACGAGGAAUUCCUAGUAAACGCAAGUCAUCAGCUUGCAUUGAUUACGUCCCUGCCCUUUGUACACACCGCCCGUCGCACCUACCGAUUGAAUGGUCCGGUGAAAUCUCGGGACGGCGGCUCGGUCGCUUGCGUCCGACUGCUGAAACUUGAUUAAACCAUAUCAUUUAGAGGAAGGUGAAGUCGUAACA
rnacentral:rRNA from 1 species